AUAUAUAUAUAUGUUGUAUGAUUUCCAAUGAGCCACUUUCUACCAAAACCAAAAGAUGUAGAAGUCAAUCACUAUAGGUCACUGUACAUCCCUCAACAAUGAGCAAAACUCAUACCCAUAUACAGUGAUAUAUAAAAAGCCAUAAAAUGAAAAAUAUAAAACAAUAUACAAUUCUAACAAAAAAACUAGCGACCUGAUUUAUGUAAGCAAAUUAAAUGAUAAAACAAAAAAUGAUAUACAGCAACAAACGUCAACUCUGAGUUGGAGUCUCCUGACUUGAGUCAGAUAUUGUCACAUUCAGAAUGUGGAAAGGUUAAACAUGUUUGAUAGGGCCAAACCCUUCCCCUAACCUUGAACAGUGGUAAACAGUAUGACAUAAUAAAAAAGUAUAUAAAUCAGUUGACAAAGGCUUGGCUAUCUACUCAUCUGACAGAUAGAUACAAAGCAGAAAAAUAACUAACAAAAACACAGACAGGACAGGAGUUCUGAUUGAUAAACUAUUUUAACAUACCCAUGACCAUGAUUACAAUGGUUAUCAAAAUUAGAAGUAUAAAAAGAAGAAGAUACAUAUAUAUAUGUCAAAUGAACCAAGCAUAUCUUUAUUCCAUACAUGAAUUUUGAUGUUCUUUGAACUUCUUUAAAAAUUUCCCUUAUACAUGUUUGCAG
rnacentral:lncRNA from 1 species